rnacentral:lncRNA from 1 species
GCGAUAAAGUUCGAAAAUAAAUCACUUAAAACGUUAAGUCUAAGAUUCUUGAAGUUUGAAAUUUUUUUUAGCAUAUCUUUUGAGAAGAGGCAGCACUAUUUUAUACUUUCAACCUUUCAAUUACUCAAAAGAAAAUGUCAAAAGCGAAGCUCUGUAAAUAAAAUUUCUACAAAAGCAACAGUAUUCUACAAUUCAUUGAUAAGUGUACGCAUCCCAAAUGUCUUAACUUGUCAAUUAUUAAUGCAAAAAUAGGGUAGGUACGGAUAAUGGGAAUUAUUCGCGAAUUAAAUUAUCCUUUCCAGUGAAAGUAUAACAUUGCAGAUAACUGACCGUUAAUUUCAUCCAUAUGCUGUUACCAAAAAUUAAUUUAUUUUUCCAAUUCUUUUGCUAUUAUUGUCAAAUUCUUUAUUUUCUAGCUUUGAUAUUUACAGGGUUUAGGAAUAACGAUAAAGUUAAAAAAGUGUUGAAUUCUAACGCAGUGCAGACAGUCAAAGGGUUCGGGAACCAAGCGGUUGAAAAAACAAAAGAAGGUAUCAAUAGGAUUCUCCCCAGUUCAGAUGACGAAUCCUCAGGUCAAGAGGAGGAACGUGGACGCAAACAUAAACGAAGACAUGACGACCGUGAUAAAAGUCGAGAUCAUGGCAAACAUCGAGAUCAUAGCAAACAUCGAGACAAUGGCAAACAUCGAGAUCAUGGCAACCAUCGCCACCAUCAUCACCAUCACCACCAUCGUAACACAGAGGGAAAAAUGAAACCAGAGGAUUACCAAGGAGCGUGCGUUAAGCACUGUGCGAACAUUUACGGCUUUUUGUUCGAAUCUUAUUCGGAGGACGGAGUCCCGAGAUUCUCUGCCGGAGCUGUUUAUCCCAUCACACGAGGCAAGGCCGAAUUGAAGGAGCAUAUCAAAGCAGAUACCCAGGAGCGGAGCUUAACUUAUGAGUGCGAUUGUAAGCUGACGAGCGAUUUCGAAUUGAUGGUCAAAACAGCGUUUCCGGAAGUCCCGGACUUGUUGGCUAACUUUAAAAAACAGCAAGUCUCCGAUCCCCUAGGAGCAACCGCUUCCGCGCGUCGAAUUUUUGAAAAAUUGAACUGGGAUUGGAAGGAGUUACAAAAAAGCAGGGAACUAAGCAGUUCAAUAGAUACUUCUACACUGAUCAUAAGCAUCUGCUUCAGUUCAUAUUUCAGGAAAUGA